GACGUAGGGCGCGAGCGUUGUCCGGAUUUAUUGGGCGUAAAGAGCUCGUAGGCGGCUUGUCGCGUCGGCUGUGAAAACCCGCGGCUUAACCGCGGGCUUGCAGUUGAUACGGGCAGGCUAGAGUUCGGUAGGGGAGACUGGAAUUCCUGGUGUAGCGGUGAAAUGCGCAGAUAUCAGGAGGAACACCGGUGGCGAAGGCGGGUCUCUGGGCCGAUACUGACGCUGAGGAGCGAAAGCGUGGGGAGCGAACAGG
rnacentral:rRNA from 1 species